rnacentral:rRNA from 1 species
UACGGAGGGUGCGAGCGUUAAUCGGAAUUACUGGGCGUAAAGCGUGCGUAGACGGCUAUUUAAGUCGGGUGUGAAAGCCCCGGGCUCAACCUGGGAAUUGCAUUCGAGACUGAAUAGCUAGGGUACGGUAGAGGGAAGUGGAAUUUCCGGUGUAGCGGUGAAAUGCGUAGAUAUCGGAAGGAACAUCAGUGGCGAAAGCGACUUCCUGGACCAGUACCGACGAUCAGGCACGAAAGCGGGGGGAGCAAACAGG